rnacentral:tRNA from 1 species
AUUUAAAUAAUUUAAAAAAAAUAUUGAUUUGUGGAGUCAAAAAUAUGAAGAUUCAUUUUAAAUC